AAAUUGAAGAGUUUGAUCAUGGCUCAGAUUGAACGCUGGCGGCAGGCCUAACACAUGCAAGUCGAGCGGAAACGAGUUAUCAGAACCUUCGGGGGACGAUAACGGCGUCGAGCGGCGGACGGGUGAGUAAUGCCUAGGAAAUUGCCCUGAUGUGGGGGAUAACCAUUGGAAACGAUGGCUAAUACCGCAUGAUGCCUAUGGGCCAAAGAGGGGGACCUUCGG
rnacentral:rRNA from 1 species